rnacentral:rRNA from 1 species
CUUGACAUCCAGCGAACUUGGCAGAGAUGCCUUGGUGCCUUCGGGAACGCUGAGACAGGUGCUGCAUGGCUGUCGUCAGCUCGUGUUGUGAAAUGUUGGGUUAAGUCCGCAACGAGCGCAACCCUUAUCCUUUGUUGCCAGCGAUUCGGUCGGGAACUCAAAGGAGACUGCCGGUGAUAAACCGGAGGAAGGUGGGGAUAACGUCAAGUCAUCAUGGCCCUUACGAGUAGGGCUACACACGUGCUACAAUGGCGCAUACAAAGAGAAGCGACCUCGCGAGAGCAAGCGGACCUCAUAAAGUGCGUCGUAGUCCGGAUCGGAGUCUGCAACUCGACUCCGUGAAGUCGGAAUCGCUAGUAAUCGUGGAUCAGAAUGCCACGGUGAAUACGUUCCCGGGCCUUGUACACACCGCCCGUCACACCAUGGGAGUGGGUUGCAAAAGAAGUAGGUAGCUUAACCUUCGGGAGGGCGCUUACCACUUUGUGAUUCAUGACUGGGGUGAAGUCGUAACAAGGUAAGCGUAGCGAG